GACGAACCGAGCGAACGUUGUUCGGAAUCACUGGGCUUAAAGGGCGCGUAGGCGGGCUAUCAAGUCCGGGGUGAAAUCCUCCAGCUUAACUGGAGAACUGCCUCGGAUACUGAUGGUCUCGAGGGAGAUAGGGGCAAGCGGAACUGUGGGUGGAGCGGUGAAAUGCGUUGAUAUCCAUAGGAACUCCGGUGGCGAAGGCGGCUUGCUGGAUCUCAUCUGACGCUGAGGCGCGAAAGCCAGGGGAGCAAACGGG
rnacentral:rRNA from 2 species